GACGAACGCUGGCGGCGUGCUUAACACAUGCAAGUCGAACGGAAGGGCCCUGCUUUUGUGGGGCGCUCGUGUGGCGAACGGGUGAGUAACACGUGAGUAACCUGCCCUUGACUUUGGGAUAACUUCAGGAAACUGGGGCUCUUACCGGAUAGGAGCUCCUGCAGCAUGGUGGGGGUUGGAAAGUUUCGGCGGUGUGGGAUGGACUGGCGGGUUAUCAGCUGGUUGGUGAGGUAGUGAAUGUCCAAGGCUACGAAGGGUAGCCGGCCUGGGAGCGUGACCGGCCACCUUGCGCCUGCGGUACGGACCAGAAUCGUACGGGCGGCAGCAGUCGGGAGUAUUGCACAGUGGGCGGGCGCCUGAUGCAGCGGCGCCCGGUGCGGGAUGACGGCCUUCGGGUUGUAAACCGCUUUCGCCUGUGACGAGGCGUGAGUGACGGUACCGGGUAAGGAAGCACCGGCUAACUACGUG
rnacentral:rRNA from 1 species